AUUAUAGGUGUACAAGGGUGGGUGUGCUAAAGUGGGUUAAGCCAUGAGUACAAAGACUAAGAAAUUAUUUUCAGUUAGAUGAUUUGAUGACCAUCCUCCAGAGAGGUCUUUCUGACUUGGCUUUCUUAAAACAUACUCCCAGUUUUGAUGGUAAAAUGUUAUCAUCUGACUAUAAGUCGUUUUCAUCUUAGUUACCAGAACAAGAACAAAGUCAUCUAAACACUGUACUACACAUGUUAACAGGAUGGGGGAUGUUGGUGCAGGCCUUGGGAGGCUGAGACAGAAAGACUGGCUCUGAGUUUGUGGCCAGCCUUGGCUACAAAAAGAGUUGAAGGCCAGUCUGAGCUAUGUAGCAAAGCCCUAGUUCAAAAAAAACAAACCAACUCUUGACAACAGUUUUCCUUAGGGAAUGAUAGGGAAAUAUUCACAUUUUACCUUUAACACUUUUAUAUUUAUUUGUAGAAUGAAAAUAUAAAUGCAAGUUUAGAAAACAAAUACAGGAGCCAGGUGCAACAGUGCAUGACUGUAAUCUGAGCAACUCAGAAGACUGAAGCAGAACUCUCACCAGUUUGAGAGGUCAGCCCAAGCAACUUAGCAAACCCAACGUAGCUCAGGGAGGGGAAUGGUUCAAUCCCAGGUUCAAUCCCCAGUACAACAAAAGCAAAUACGGGGAUCCCAUCAAACACAUAUGUAAAUGUAAAUGGAGAAAACCAGGGAUUUUGUUUUAUACCACCUAGAACUGAAUUUUGUGCUCCGAAUAGCUUACUUCCAUCCCUUCUUCUUAGAAUAAAUCUAUGAAUGGGAUCUACACCUCAUAAAUGGAUAAACUGUUUUACUUCUUCAAAAUUCAGUGAUUAUUUCAAAUUAUUUUUUAAAUAAGAUAAAAACCUAAAAUGGUCAAUGGUCAAAGAGCUGAAACUAAAUCAUACUUCUUUUUCCUAAAUAAGUAGUGUAUUAACCACAAAGACAAGGAGAGAACACCGGCUAUGCCUCACAAGACCUUCAACAACUAGAUAGUUCUAUAGGGCUUAAAGUAUUCCUUGUUCUACAGAUACAGUCUCAAACAGUUAAAUGUGCAAGGAUUGGUGUCUAAAACAGACUAGAAUUAUUCUGAGCACCCACGUCUUUGUUAGGUAAAAGAGGGACCCUUUAGUAAACUAGUAAAAGUGUACUUAGAAUUUUACCAGUCCAGCUACCAUUAACACACCACCACAUCCAAAACCAAAAUCUGGACUUUUCUUUCCAGUAGUCUAUUGGCAUUAUUAAUAGUCUGUUUCCUUAGGUUGGACGUUCCUACUUUUGUUGCGAUAAACACCACUCAGAACACUAUAUAAUUUUUCUUUGCAUUCCACUUACUAAGUCUGGUGAAAUAUAAAGAUGAUCUAGGAAACCCAGAAAUGAAAACAUGCAUUAAAAAAGAAG